rnacentral:rRNA from 1 species
AUGGUUAAGCAAAAGAUUGUCCUCAAGUUGGCUCUGGAUGAUGAGAGGAAGAGGAGGAAGGCCUUCAAGGCUGCCGUUGGCAUGUCAGGCGUGACAUCCGCGGCAAUGGAGGGGGAAAAGAUCAUCAUCGUCGGGGACGGCGUCGACCCGAUCACGCUGACGACGGUGCUCCGGCGCAGCCUAGGCUACGCAGAGCUUCUCAGCGUGUCGUCCGGCGACGACAAGAAGAAGGACGGCUACGGCGCCGGCGAGAAGAAGAAGGACGGCUAUGGAUACGGCGGCGACGGCGGCGGGAGCUUUGGCGGCAAGGAGGGUGUCGGUUCCAAAGGUGGCUGCGGCGGCGGCUACUCUCAAAACGCGGUUGCGCCGAUCACGUACCCCGCGUAUCAGCAGUACAACGCCAUGCCGUCCUACCCGGUUUACUCCUCCUACCCUGCUCCUCCUGCUUAUCAGCAUCAAGAACAGGAUCCAGGCUGCAGCAUUAUGUAG